GGGAUAGCCUUUCGAAAGAAAGAUUAAUACCGGAUAGCAUACGAAUAUCGCAUGAUAUUUUUAUUAAAGAAUUUCGGUUAUCGAUGGGGAUGCGUUCCAUUAGUUUGUUGGCGGGGUAACGGCCCACCAAGACAACGAUGGAUAGGGGUUCUGAGAGGAAGGUCCCCCACAUUGGAACUGAGACACGGUCCAAACUCCUACGGGAGGCAGCAGUGAGGAAUAUUGGUCAAUGGGCGAGAGCCUGAACCAGCCAAGUAGCGUGAAGGAUGAAGGCUCUAUGGGUCGUAAACUUCUUUUAUAUGGGAAUAAAGUAUUCCACGUGUGGAAUUUUGUAUGUACCAUAUGAAUAAGGAUCGGCUAACUCCGUGCCAGCAGCCGCGGUAAUACGGAGGAUCCGAGCGUUAUCCGGAUUUAUUGGGUUUAAAGGGAGCGUAGGUGGAUUGUUAAGUCAGUUGUGAAAGUUUGCGGCUCAACCGUAAAAUUGCAGUUGAAACUGGCAGUCUUGAGUACAGUAGAGGUGGGCGGAAUUCGUGGUGUAGCGGUGAAAUGCUUAGAUAUCACGAAGAACUCCGAUUGCGAAGGCAGCUCACUAGACUGUCACUGACACUGAUGCUCGAAAGUGUGGGUAUCAAACAGGAUUAGAUACCCUGGUAGUCCACACAGUAA
rnacentral:rRNA from 1 species